rnacentral:rRNA from 1 species
AGAAGGGUCUGGGCUCGAGCCUGCCUGGAGCCGCCGCCGGUGCAGAUCUUGGUGGUAGUAGCAAAUACUCCAGCGAGGCCCUGGAGGACUGAUGUGGAGAAGGGUUUCGUGUGAACAGCCGUUGCACACGAGUCAGUCGAUCCUAAGCCCUAGGAGAAAUCCGACGCCUACGGCGACGGGAAAAAUUUUUUAAAUCAACCCGUUGAUCGGGCGAAAGGGAAUCCGGUUCCUAUUCCGGAACCCGGCAGCGGAACCGCUGUUUGUCGGGCCCUCACAAGGGGUUCGUCAGGGUAACCUAAAAGGGCCCGGAGACGCCGUCGGGAGCCCCGGAAAGAGUUUUCUUUUCUGCAUGAGCGUUCGAGUUCCCUGGAAUCCUCUCGCAGGGAGAUAGGGUUUGGAACGCGAAGAGCACCGCAGUUGCGGCGGUGCCCGGGAAUUCCCGACGGACCUUGAAAAUCCGGGAGAGGGCCACGUGGAGGUGUCGCGCCGGCUCGUACCCAUAUCCGCAGCAGGUCUCCAAGGUGAAGAGCCUCUAGUCGAUAGAAUAAUGUAGGUAAGGGAAGUCGGCAAAUCGGAUCCGUAACUUCGGG